rnacentral:rRNA from 1 species
UACGUAGGGGGCAAGCGUUGUCCGGAUUUAUUGGGCGUAAAGAGCGUGUAGGCGGCCAUUCAGGUCAGCUGUGAAAACUCGAGGCUCAACCUCGAGACGUCGGUUGAAACCGUUUGGCUAGAGUCCGGAAGAGGAGAAUGGAAUUCCUGGUGUAGCGGUGAAAUGCGCAGAUAUCAGGAAGAACACCCGUGGCGAAGGCGGUUCUCUGGGACGGUACUGACGCUGAGACGCGAAAGCGUGGGGAGCGAACAGG